UACGGAGGGUGCAAGCGUUAUCCGGAAUCACUGGGCGUAAAGGGCGCGUAGGCGGCCUGUUAAGUCCGAUGUUAAAGACUGGGGCUCAACCCCAGCAUUGCGUUGGAUACUGGCAGGCUUGACGGUUGGAGAGGCGAGUGGAAUUACCAGUGUAGCGGUGAAAUGCGUAGAUACUGGUAGGAACACCCAUUGCGAAGGCAGCUCGCUGGACAACACGUGACGCUGAGGCGCGAAAGUGUGGGGAGCAAACCGGAUUAGAUAU
rnacentral:rRNA from 1 species